CAUCGGUACUAAGUAGUAGUGCCGCAGGUAACGCUGGUUCAACUUAUUACCUGCACUCUACUGCUUACUAUCGCCU
rfam:Lingula anatina scaffold174, whole genome shotgun sequence.